UGUUGAUUUAGUGUGUAUGUGUGUACUGCUUUUGUGUAUGUUUGUGCUGAAUAUAUGUGUGUAUGAGAAUGAAAUGGCAACCUCUAAACAUGAUGUGAAUGACAAUGGGCAUGUUUAUAAUUUCAUUUGGAAGGGAUACCAAACAGAUCAGGCUGAUAAAUGCCGAGAAUCCCGAAUGAAAAUCCCUACCGACCACCAUUGGGAUCGAACUAGUAUUAGUGGGUGGUCUCAUGAAUAUGAUGACUUGGAAAGAGUUUACGAAGAGUGUAUUAUGGAAAAUAUCAAAGCACGGAAAAGAUCAAAGCACGAGACGAAGUGAGCUCAUUUUGUAAUGCUACAAUAUUUUUCUAAGUUUUUAUGUAAUUCUAGAUUCAUAUAUGUACUGUUGACUUGGUAUUUAAUUUUAUGUAGACUUUAAUUUUAAAAUUACUGUGUAAUUUAAUUUAGUAGG